rnacentral:lncRNA from 1 species
AGAGCAGACCAAACGCCAAUGCAGAAGGCUCAAGAAAGAGGCAAACAGACUAGCCACUGCUCCAGGAUGACUGUGGCUCUUUAUGAGUGAAGAGAAAGGGUGGAGACUGAAGACAGAACUGGGGACAGUGACAGGCUUGGGGAAGAACAGCUGAUUCAGCAGUCCCAAGGGUGACAUCGCAAAAUACAUGGGUGAAGACAACCUAGUGGCCGUGACUUGGAGCACCCUUCCUCACAAUGAAGGCAUUCUGGGCCAGCCUGAAAAACAGCAUGGAAAUAAAUCACCUAAGUACAAGGGACUGGCUUAAAAAUGGUCUAAUGAAAUGUCAAAAGAGUUCUCCUGUGGAGCUUCGGAGAAGUUUCCUUACCCUUUAAAAAAAGAAAAGAAGAAAAGGAAAAGGUGAUGAUGAUGACACACAGAAGGCAUACACAUUUCCAUUUCUCCCUUUGGAAACUUUCAUGUCUGGGUUGAGAAGUUAACAGAAAGGCAAACAGCCUGAGGUCAAAGAUGACACACUGAGGAUAACAAAAUGGAAAGACAAUCUGAGCUCUUGAUGAUGUGUGACUGAAUGAGCCAAAUUAAACAACUAUAGAGCUGUUCUACUUCCAAUCUAAUUAUGUGAGGGAUAAAUGUUAAUGCGCUUUUUCUUUAGGUUUUCAUUUAGAUUUUGUAGUUUCUACGGUACAAAUCUUAUAUUCUUUUAUUGAAUUUCUUAAACAAAAUGUUCUUUUCAGACUAUAUAAGUGGAAUUGUUUUCUUAAUUUCAUUUUCAGAUUGUUUGUUUCCAGUGUACAGAAAUUCCACUGGCUUUGUAUAGUGAUGUUUUCUACAACAGUAAUGAACUCAUUAAGUAACUCUAAUAGCAUUUUUGAGGACUCCUUAAGACUUUUCACACACAAGAUCAUGUCAUCUGAAAAUACAAAUAGUUCUUCUUUACUCCAAGUAAAAAGACAUUUUUAAUUUC